UCGCUCCUACCGAUUGAGUGAUCCGGUGAAUAAUUCGGACCACUGCUAACCCAGCAAUGGAAUUAGCGGAGGGAAGUUUAGUGAACCUUAUCACUUAGAGGAAGGAG
rnacentral:rRNA from 1 species